GCUUAGCCCUAAACCUAAAUAAUUCAAUAACAAAAAUAUUUGCCAGAGAACUACUAGCCAUCGCUUAAAACUCAAAGGACUUGGCGGUACUUUAUAUCCAUCUAGAGGAGCCUGUUCUAUAAUCGAUAAACCCCGUUAUACCUCACCAUCCCUUGCUAAUUCAGCCUAUAUACCGCCAUCUUCAGCAAACCCUAAAAAGGUACUAAAGUAAGCACAAGAACAAACAUAAAAACGUUAGGUCAAGGUGUAGCCAAUGAGAUGGGAAGAAAUGGGCUACAUUUUCUUUUAAAAGAACAUCACGAAACCCUUUAUGAAACUAAAGGAUAAAGGCGGAUUUAGUAGUAAAUUAAGAAUAGAGAGCUUAAUUG
rnacentral:rRNA from 1 species